CCCUUAGAUGUUCUGGGCCGCACGCGCGCUACACUGAUACGUGCAACGAGUUUAUAACCUUGAUCUGACGGUCUGGGUAAUCUUCAAACUGUAUCGUGUUAGGGAUCGAUUCUUGCAAUUUUUAAUCGUAAACGAGGUAUUCCUAGUAAACGCAAGUCAUCAGCUUGCAUUGAUUACGUCCCUGCCCUUUGUACACACCGCCCGUCGACUCUACCGAUUGAAUGGUUCGGUGAAAACUUUGGACUGUGGCAUUGUCCUUCAUUGGACUUCGCCGUAGGAAAUUGUUUAAACCUCAUCAUUUAGAGGAAGAAUAAGUCGUAACA
rnacentral:rRNA from 1 species